AGUGAACGCUGGCGGUAGGCCUAACACAUGCAAGUCAAACGGCAGCACAGGAGAACUUGCUCUCUGGGUGGCGAGUGGCGGACGGGUGAGGAAUACAUCGGAAUCUACUUUUUCGUGGGGGAUAACGUAGGGAAACUUACGCUAAUACCGCAUACGACCUACGGGUGCAAGCAGGGGAUCUUCGGACCUUGCGCGAUUGAAUGAGCCGAUGUCGGAUAAGCUGGUUGGCGGGGUAAAUGCCCACCAAGGCGACGAUCCGUAGCUGGUCUGAGAGGAUGAUCAGCCACACUGGAACUGAGACACGGUCCAGACUCCUACGGGAGGCAGCAGUGGGGAAUAUUGGACAAUGGGCGCAAGCCUGAUCCAGCCAUACCGCGUGGGUGAAGAAGGCCUUCGGGUUGUAAAGCCCUUUUGUUGGGAAAGAAAUCCAGCUGGUUAAUACCCGGUUGGGAUGACGGUACCCAAAGAAUAAGCACCGGCUAACUUCGUGCCAGCAGCCGCGGUAA
rnacentral:rRNA from 1 species